GACGAACGCUGGCGGCGUGCUUAACACAUGCAAGUCGAACGGAGCUAUUUAUUUCGGUAAAUCGCUUAGUGGCAAACGGGUGAGUAACGCGUAGGCAACCUGCCCUCAGGAUGGGGACAACGGCUCGAAAGAGCCGCUAAUACCGAAUGACGUAACUCUUCCACAUGGAAGAGAAACUAAAGAUGGGUCAAACCAUCGCCUAAGGAUGGGCCUGCGUCUGAUUAGCCAGUUGGUGAGGUAACGGCUCACCAAAGCGACGAUCAGUAGCCGGUCUGAGAGGAUGAACGGCCACAAUGGGACUGAGACACGGCCCAUACUCCUACGGGAGGCAGCAGUGGGGAAUCUUCCGCAAUGGGCGAAAGCCUGACGGAGCAACGCCGCGUGAGUGAAGAAGGUCUUCGGAUCGUAAAGCUCUGUUGUCGGGGACGAAAGAGUAGACGAGGAAAUGCGUCUACUAAGACGGUA
rnacentral:rRNA from 1 species